UGGGGAAUUUUGGACAAUGGGCGAAAGCCUGAUCCAGCAAUGCCGCGUGCAGGAUGAAGGCCUUCGGGUUGUAAACUGCUUUUGUACGGAACGAAAAAGCUUCUCCUAAUACGAGAGGCCCAUGACGGUACCGUAAGAAUAAGCACCGGCUAACUACGUGCCAGCAGCCGCGGUAAUACGUAGGGUGCGAGCGUUAAUCGGAAUUACUGGGCGGAAAGCGUGCGCAGGCGGUUAUGUAAGACAGAGGUGAAAUCCCCGGGCUCAACCUGGGAACUGCAUUUGUGACUGCAUGGCUAGAGUACGGUAGAGGGGGAUGGAAUUCCGCGUGUAGCAGUGAAAUGCGUAGAUAUGCGGAGGAACACCGAUGGCGAAGGCAAUCCCCUGGACCUGUACUGACGCUCAUGCACGAAAGCGUGGGGAGCAAACA
rnacentral:rRNA from 1 species